CUGGAAUAUGAUAUGCUGAACAAAUCCAGAGGAAGGAAAAUAAAGAGCAGAAUGAGGGAGGUCUGCCAGGAAGCAGGGAGUACACAGCCUGGUUUAGCAAGAGCUGGAGGGUGGACUCAUGACAGAGCUGGAGCUGAGAGAGCAAGUGACUGAAGGGUGUGAGAGAUGCCUCUGGAAUCAGUGAAAGGCCUGGAGGACCAAGCGGGAAGGCAGGUGAGGCGGGGCUGAGGCCAAGGGAGCCACUGCAGCCCUGGAGCAGGAGGUGCUCAAUCUUGCAGGGGAGGGAGCCGUGUUGAGAGGAGCAAGACAAGUGGGAGUUCUCGCAAAUGUCCAAGUGACGGCUGCCUCCUCGAGACCCCACUCUGCACAUAGCAGGAAUUCGAGACAGGAGAUGAACCAAUGAAUGGGGUGCUUGCUGUGGAAACACCAAAGCCACGCUGUGAGCGUCUGGUCUGGCCCGGCUCUGGAGUCUGCGCCCCAUUCCUCGGGCUGGGCCCAGAGAUGCCGAGAGACUCACCAUAGCAGCUGCCUCUUGUGCUGGCUCUCCCUGGCCGCCACCUCCCGUAGGAUGCUCUGCACCUGGCUCUGCCCUCGGGCACUCUUCCUCCAGAUGCAGAAAGCCUUCCUGAGCUGUCUGUGGUGGUGGUGGGCACAGGCCACUGCUUGCCGCUGCCGCUCCUGGUGACAAGCUGCUGCCUGUUGGUGCCACGUGGACCAGGACCUUCGCAGAAGCUGCCGCUCUGAAUGAAGGAUGGCCUGGGGCAGGACAGCAGGGAAAGAACAGAGCGGGUCAGGUAGCAUGGGUACAGGAGCCAAGAAGAAUCUACAGGCCAAAAAUAAUGACCAAGGCCAAAGAAAUGGGCUUUAACAAGCUGCCCUGGCCUAGAAGCCACAUAUAGACUCUGCUGACAAAGUCAAUAGGCACCCCACGCCGUGCCCUGUCUCGUGAGUCCUGGUCACAGGCAGAACACCCCUCAGUGUGGGUCUGGGUUCCAGGCAACAUCCAGAGCAGAAGAGGCAGCAAAUGCAAAGACUUGAAACAGGUCCUGCCUCCUCAGGGAUGGCCACUUACCAUUCUCUCUGCCAGGCGGUUUUCUCGAUGCUGAAACAUCUUCUGCCACCACACAGCAAAUACUUUCCUCUCCAACAUUUCCCUAAAAAUGGCAAACAUCAUCAUUAUAAUAAUGGACUUAAAACAAAGCAACUAUAAAAAAGAAUGAGAAGUUCCAAAUAAUUGGAUUUUUCCUCUUAUGCUAUUGAAUAAG